rnacentral:lncRNA from 1 species
GGAACAACAGUACGUACCUUGGGUUCCUGGCCAAGUUUCCAUUUGCAUGGUUUCAUUUGCUCCAUUCUGUCAAGUUAUAUGUCCUAAGGAUAUAAUUUAGCGGACUGCUGGUCCCUGAUACAGGACGCAGCCAAAUGCUUUGCUGCAUGUAGCCUUCUGACUAGGGAGUGGCAGCUUGAGAAACCCCGAUGCCUGUAAGCAGCAAAAUCAUAGGGGAAGAGAUUUAGAGUUGUGGAGGAGUUUUCCUAAAGUGUUGUCUUUUAUAACUGCUCCGGAGAGUACUAACUUGUUACCUUAUAAUGUAUAUAAGAUUGCAGUUUAUAUGUACAUAAAUCAAUAAGCCAGGGGAAUCAAGGAAAAAUAGAGAAGCGUGUUGCUGAUGGGAUCCUGGGAUGGAGCAGCUGUUCCUUGUUGAGAACAAGUCAAAGCUCUCAUCCUUGAGCAGGUUCUUUGGCUGUGGGUUAACCCUGUCAGGAAUAUCAAAGCAUGUGACAUGCUUGGCCACAGAAGUUGGUACGUGUGGGGUCUCUCACAAGUUCCUGUCAACACUUCAGCAUUGCAGCUCUCCAGAAUGGAUAACGUUGCUGCCAUUCAUUCUGAGUGGCAUCGUGGCCUCAUUUACAUGGGUUUUACGCUAUCUCAGUUAUCUCAACCUUUUGCUACAGUCAGUUCUUCAUUAUCUGAAGGUAAAUUUAGGUACAAGUCAUGACAGGCAAGGUCCUUGGCUUGGAGUAUGCCUGCCUUCCUGUAGCACUCAGUCACACUCUGGUACGGGUGGAUUUUCCUCUUAG